rnacentral:misc_RNA from 1 species
UGUAUGACAAGGGUAACAUCAGGAUAAUCAACUCCACGUGCAGAUACAUCAGAAGUCACAAGAAUAAGGCCCUUGGAUUUCCGGAAUUCAUCAGAAACCCUGGUCCUGUAGCUCUGUGGCUUUCUGGAAUGGAUCUCUCUAACAUUCAACUUCAGUUCACCAAGAAGGUCAGCAACCAUUCUUGUGACCAUUGCAGUUGUACAAAAUACAAGAACCUUAUAAUCAAUGUUAUCUGCAAUAUGAUCCUUCAAAAGAA